GAGGCCUGGAAGAAGGGGGGUCCCCAGGUACCGGACGGCUCCCCAGGCAGACUUGAGCGGGGAAGCAGGGGAGUCCCUGGGUACCAGACAGCAUCCCAGGCAGACUUCAGGGGGGCAUAUGGUUUGGCGGCCCCAGAAUCCUGAGCAGGUCCCGGCCUCUGCUCUGCCAGCUGCCGCUGCUGGGCAACCUCAGGCAGACCCUUCUUCCUGCCUCUGGCUGCAAAGCCUGCCUCACCCCAGGGCCCCUUCCCACAGGUGCCUCCCUCCACAUCAGAAACGGCUUAGAAUCCGCCACCCACGCCCCGUCUGUCCUUGAUAGGGAAGCCCUGGACAGCAGCGGAUUUCCCUGCAGGUGCUGAAAGGGGCAAACCCCACUUAGGGGCUCCUUGCAGGCUCCAGGCUUCAAGGAGAGGCCGGGGUGCCCAGGCUUCCUUCCUACCAUGGACAGGGCCCCAGGAGAUGGAGGGGUCUGAGUGGACCACAAGCCUCUCGCUUCAUCUGGGAAUGAGGAGGAGGCCGGGCCCCAUGUCCAGGGAGAGCAUGUGAACCAAGGAGGCUCCCGGACCACCACCCUCGUCCACCACACCCACUCCCAGGGCGUAGGUCCCAUCAUCCCCAGGUCCCCUGAGUGUGGAGAGACAUACUGACAUUUUCCAGCAGGACUGCACCAUACACCACGGCAAAACAGGAGGGAGGUUUCCAGGAAACAAGCAAACAGAAAACAAACACAAAGGUGCCCCCAGUGGAAUGUUGCGUGGGAUGGAGCCCUGCACAGAGGACGCUCCGCCCAGAGAGAUGGAGACAGAGGGCCAAAGAGCAGGAGAUCGCUGGACACUCGCCGAAGAGCGGGAGAUCGCUGGACACUCGCCGUUGGCAUCAUGUGGGGUGCUCCAUGGCUUCCAAUUGGCCAAAUUCUUUUCAGUGUUAAAAUGCUGUAAAAUAUAAAACAUAUGUAAUUUCUUGACAAAAA
rnacentral:lncRNA from 10 species